rnacentral:lncRNA from 1 species
CAAUUUGAGGUAGGAAAUCCUUUAAAAGGGAUAGUAGAGACCCUCUUACUUGAAGAACAUAAAGCAGAGGUUCUAACCACAGAGAUCUAGGGGAAUCAAAUGGGGAUUAUGAGUCCUCCUCUUUUCCUUCUCUCUUUCAUUCUCUUCACUGUGAUGAAGUGUCCAACACUGGCUCUCAAACGGGCAAGCAUUAUUCUCUAUCUCUCUCAAUUCUCUAAGUGGCUAACUACCCAUGUUAACCUGUUUUAUAGAACCUCAUGUCAUGUGGUGUAAUAUGAUUUUGUUGUACCCUUUUUCUACAGUCAUAUGUGGUGUACCUAGGUAGUCAUUCACAUGGAGCUGAACCUACUUCUGUAUUGGGGAAGAUAUAAUUAUUGGAAACCUAGACACUGGUAAUCUUGAUUGCUAACCAGCUUUGAGAUUUGGUGAAGUUUAAAAUGCUAAUACUCUUUCAAUGAGUUAUCUAUAUUCGGUAGCAUUAAUCUUUUGAAAUAAUAUCUUGGCUUGCCUAUCAGAAAAAGCUUGAGGAAUCAACAAGCAAGCUAGUGUUACUGCAUUCGUACAAUGCAUAGAUAAGACACUCCUCAACUACACUAGCACCAAAUCAUAUUAGCUGCAAUCCUAGUUUUUAUGAUUUUUGACUUAGUAAACUAGAUUUUUAAUGAUUUCUUGGACUUUACAUAGGUGCCGGAUUAAUUGGGUGCUAAUUGACUUGAAUAAUCAAAGUAGACCAAAUGAAUAAUUAGUUUGCAU